rnacentral:rRNA from 1 species
GAUGAACGCUGGCGGCGUGCCUAAUACAUGCAAGUCGAGCGAACGGACGAGAAGCUUGCUUCUCUGGUGUUAGCGGCGGACGGGUGAGUAACACGUGGAUAACCUACCUAUAAGACUGGGAUAACUUCGGGAAACCGGAGCUAAUACCGGAUGAUAUUUUGAACCGCAUGGUUCAAAAGUGAAAGACGGUCUUGCUGUCACUUAUAGAUGGGUCCGCGCUGCAUUAGCUAGUUGGUAAGGUAACGGCUUACCAAGGCAACGAUGCAUAGCCGACCUGAGAGGGUGAUCGGCCACACUGGAACUGAGACACGGUCCAGACUCCUACGGGAGGCAGCAGUAGGGAAUCUUCCGCAAUGGGCGAAAGCCUGACGGAGCAACGCCGCGUGAGUGAUGAAGGUCUUCGGAUCGUAAAACUCUGUUAUUAGGGAAGAACAUAUGUGUAAGUAACUGUGCACAUCUUGACGGUACCUAAUCAGAAAGCCACGGCUAACUACGUG